AGCGUAGACGGAAUGGCAAGUCUGAUGUGAAAAGCCGGGGCUCAACCCCGGGACUGCAUUGGAAACUGCCAAUCUAGAGUACCGGAGGGGUAAGUGGAAUUCCUAGUGUAGCGGUGAAAUGCGUAGAUAUUAGGAGGAACACCAGUGGCGAAGGCGGCUUACUGGACGGUAACUGACGUUGAGGCUCGAAAGCGUGGGGAGCAAACA
rnacentral:rRNA from 1 species